rnacentral:rRNA from 1 species
UAAGCCAGUGAAGGUGUGUCGUGAGGCAUGCUGGAGGUAUCAGAAGUGCGAAUGCUGACAUAAGUAACGAUAAAGCGGGUGAAAAGCCCGCUCGCCGGAAGACCAAGGGUUCCUGUCCAACGUUAAUCGGGGCAGGGUGAGUCGACCCCUAAGGCGAGGCCGAAAGGCGUAGUCGAUGGGAAACGGGUUAAUAUUCCCGUACUUGGUGUUACUGCGAAGGGGGGACGGAGAAGGCUAUGUUGGCCGGGCGACGGUUGUCCCGGUUUAAGCGUGUAGGUGUGUGUUCCAGGUAAAUCCGGUUCACUUUAACACUGAGGCGUGACGACGAGGCACUACGGUGCUGAAGCAACAAAUGCCCUGCUUCCAGGAAAAGCCUCUAAGCAUCAGGUAACAUCAAAUCGUACCCCAAACCGACACAGGUGGUCAGGUAGAGAAUACCAAGGCGCUUGAGAGAACUCGGGUGAAGGAACUAGGCAAAAUGGUGCCGUAA